rnacentral:rRNA from 1 species
AUUGAACGCUGGCGGCAGGCCUAACACAUGCAAGUCGAACGAGUGGCGGACGGGUGAGUAAUUUCUGGGAAACUGCCUGAUGGAGGGGGAUGACUGCUGGAAACGGUAGAUAAAACCGCAUACGGUCAGAUGUGCCCAGAUGGGAUUAGCUUGUUGGUGGGGUAACGGCUCACCAAGGCGACGAGCCCUAGCUGGUCUGAGAGGAUUACCGGCCACACUGGAACUGAGACACGGUCCAGACUCCUACGGGAGGCAGCAGUGGGGAAUAUUGCACAAUGGGCGCAAGCCUGAUGCAGCAAUGCCGCGUGUGUGAAGAAGGCCUUCGGGUUGUAAAGUACUUUUAGCGGGGAGGCGUUACCCGCAGAGGAAGCACCGGCUAACUCCGUGCCAACCGCCGCGGUAAUUC